rnacentral:sRNA from 2 species
GUCUGCACUUGUCGGGGAAGGGUGAGAAGCUUCGACUAAGGUUCGAUUCGAGCGAAAGCGAGAAAGCGUUGCCGCAGGCAACGACCCGAAGGGUGAGGAGCGAAGCGACGAAUAAUCCUUCCCCCACCACCA